CCCCAUAAAGGGACAAGAGGAGGGGGAUGCUGGGAAUAACUAAUUCAGCCUCACAGCUGAUAUCAGUGCCUGGUUGGGGAUUUCAAAGCACUGAGGAAGGAUAAUACUUGCUUACUGGAAGAAGCCAUCGACAGCAUACUAAUUUGGAGGAAGCAGAGGAAGAUGGAGCAAACUGAAGAAGCUGUGGAGCCUGUGCUAUCGGGGACUGUGCCGUUUGGGAGAUAACCCUGUCUUUGCUUCUUGAGCUCCAUCUGAAAGGACAAAGUAAAAGCCUGUGUUUUUGUGUGAGCUGAGCUCAUGCAGCCAGGGAAUAU
rnacentral:lncRNA from 1 species